AUCGGCGGAUAAGGGUGAAAACGUGGGGUAAGAGCCUACGCAUUGUUUUAGUGAUAGGGCAAUGGGGUAAACCUCGUGAGUUGUAAGACCAAGUAAACCUCAACUCUUGCAAAAGAUUGGAGCUACCCGCGCCAAAAGUGAUAACACUUGUUGAGAAGGGUAGGUUGCACGAGUGGUAAAGCAAUUUACCGCCUAGAUAAAU
rnacentral:RNase_P_RNA from 14 species